rnacentral:rRNA from 1 species
CCUACGGGUGGCAGCAGUGAGGAAUAUUGGUCAAUGGACGAGAGGCUGAACCAGCCAAGUAGCGUGAAGGAUGACUGCCCUAUGGGUUGUAAACUUCUUUUAUAUGGGAAUAAAAUGAUCCACGUGUGGGAUUUUGUAUGUACCAUAUGAAUAAGGAUCGGCUAACUCCGUGCCAGCAGCCGCGGUAAUACGGAGGAUCCGAGCGUUAUCCGGAUUUAUUGGGUUUAAAGGGUGCGUAGGUGGAUUGUUAAGUCAGAUGUGAAAGUUUGCGGCUCAACCGUAAAAUUGCAGUUGAAACUGGAAGUCUUGAGUGCAGUAGAGGGAGGCGGAAUGCGUGGUGUAGCGGUGAAAUGCAUAGAUAUCACGAAGAACGCCGAUUGCGAAGGCAGCUGACUGGACCGCAACUGACGCUGAGGCUCGAAAGUGUGGGUAUCGAACAGGAUUAGAUACCCGUGUAGUC